UACGGAGGGGGCUAGCGUUGUUCGGAAUUACUGGGCGUAAAGGGCGCGUAGGCGGUGUGUCAAGUCAGGCGUGAAAGCCCCGGGCUCAACCUGGGAACCGCGCUUGAGACUGGCACGCUAGAGUUCGGGAGAGGAUGGUGGAAUUCCCAGUGUAGAGGUGAAAUUCGUAGAUAUUGGGAAGAACACCGAUGGCGAAGGCAGCCAUCUGGACCGACACUGACGCUGAGGCGCGAAAGCUAGGGGAGCAAACGGA
rnacentral:misc_RNA from 1 species